rnacentral:tRNA from 1 species
GCCCGGGUGACGUAAUUGGUAGCCGUAAGGGACUUAAAAUCCCUGGACCGUAAGGUCGUGUGGGUUCGAUUCCCACCCCGGGCA